rnacentral:lncRNA from 1 species
AAGCUGUAGCACAUAAAAGUAGGUAGCUUCCAGUUCUAAGAGUUUAUAAUUAUUAGAAGGAAUUAAAUGUAACACAGAACAUGAAAUCAUUUCUGAUUUAAAGUAUUUCCUAUUGAGCCACAGAAAUGAGAAAUUCCUCACUUUAUUUAAAUUACAUAAAGUUUACUCCACUUGAAGAACUCAUGUCAGAAAAAAAAAGAGUUUAUCUUUAAAAAUUUGCUCUUCCUCUGAACACCCAGAUUAUCAAAACACAGCUGAAAACAACACCAAAGGGGCUGUUCUCAAAAACAAGGAAGUCAACUUUUUAAAAAGGGAUUGUCAAUUAAGUAACUAGAUAGCCAGGCGUAGCACAGGUGAAUAAUCUGAAUGUUACAGAAGUGACAGCUUUAUUUUUUGAAUAUUUUUUUCAACCCAUAAUUCAGGAUUUCCACUGGUAGCGAGGAUCCUCUCUGGUGCUGAGGAUGUGGCCACGGGCGAGAGAGAAAGGGAGAGACACACACGGUGUCCGCAAGAUGAGUGAGGGAUACCCUGGGAGUUCAGCUGGAGCGGAGGGAAGGCACCAGGAUCUCAGCAGGGCCUGGCCUCCGGAAAGGACCCUGGUGAGAAGGCGGGCCCUGGGGAGACGUGGAG